UGGGUGACCUGCCCUCAGCUCUGGGAUGAGCCUGGGAAACUGGGUCUAAUACUGGAUAUUCACUUCUCAUCGCAUGGUGGGUGGUGGAAAGUUUUUCGGCUGGGGAUGGGCCCGCGGCCUAUCAGCUUGUUGGUGGGGUGAUGGCCUACCAAGGCGACGACGGGUAGCCGGCCUGAGAGGGCGUCCGGCCACACUGGGACUGAGACACGGCCCAGACUCCGUACGGGA
rnacentral:rRNA from 1 species